AUACGGAGGAUCCGAGCGUUAUCCGGAUUUAUUGGGUUUAAAGGGAGCGUAGGUGGAUUGUUAAGUCAGUUGUGAAAGUUUGCGGCUCAACCGUAAAAUUGCAGUUGAAACUGGCAGUCUUGAGUACAGUAGAGGUGGGCGGAAUUCGUGGUGUAGCGGUGAAAUGCUUAGAUAUCACGAAGAACUCCGAUUGCGAAGGCAGCUCACUAGACUGUUACUGACACUGAUGCUCGAAAGUGUUGGUAUCAAACAGGAUUAGAUACGCUGGUAGUCCACACAGUAAACGAUGAAUACUCGCUGUUUGCGAUAUACAGUAAGCGGCCAAGCGAAAGCAUUAAGUAUUCCACCUGGGGAGUACGCCGGCAACGGUGAAACUCAAAGGAAUUGACGGGG
rnacentral:rRNA from 1 species